rnacentral:rRNA from 3 species
AAAUUGAAGAGUUUGAUCAUGGCUCAGAUUGAACGCUGGCGGCAGGCCUAACACAUGCAAGUCGAACGGUAACAGGAAGUAGCUUGCUGCUU